UUAGGUCAAGUUAAAUCUGCUGUGAUGGCAGUUCCUGUUACAGCCUCUGACCACCAGGGUGAGCUUUUUCAGCCAAUAGUUGAGUUUGGUUCUGAGUCUUCCCAAUGUGAUUUUUCAGCCUUUAUUUCAGAUGGUGUAGUGUCUUUGGUAGAUGGCAACCAAAAUGUUCCAAUUAAGAUCUUAAGAGACACUGGAGCUUUAGAUUCUUUUCUGGUGGAAUCUGUUUUGCCGUUCUCUAAGGAGUCUGAUACUGGCAGUUGUGUAUUGAUACGUGGCAUGGGAUUAGUUCCAUUCGUCUCUCCUUUACAUGACGUUACCCUUAAAUGUGGUCUGGUAGAGGGUGAUGUAGCUGUUGGGGUUAGACCCCAGUUGCCAGUAGAGGAAGUCCACAUGAUUUUGGGGAAUGACUUGGCAGGUAGUAAGGUGUGGGCAGAUGGCAGAAUAAACAUCUUUAAGAAGCAAGCUUCAGUACCCCCUGUAAAGGUAUCUCCAGAUUGCAAUUGUGUGUCUCCGGAGGUAUUUCCGGGUUGUGCUGUUACCCGCUCUGCUUCACGCAAGGAGAAUAUGGAGAAAAUGUU